rnacentral:tRNA from 1 species
GAGGGAGAGGCCAAGCCAACAAGAACUGCUAACUCUUGCACCUGAGUUUAAACCCUCAGCUCCCUU